rnacentral:rRNA from 1 species
GACGAACGCUGGCGGCGUGCUUAACACAUGCAAGUCGAACGGAAAGGCCCUGCUUUUGUGGGGUGCUCGAGUGGCGAACGGGUGAGUAACACGUGAGUAACCUGCCCUUGACUUUGGGAUAACUUCAGGAAACUGGGGCUAAUACCGGAUAGGAGCUCCUGCUGCAUGGUGGGGGUUGGAAAGUUUCGGCGGUUGGGGAUGGACUCGCGGCUUAUCAGCUUGUUGGUGGGGUAGUGGCUUACCAAGGCUUUGACGGGUAGCCGGCCUGAGAGGGUGACCGGCCACAGUGGGACUGAGAUACGGCCCAGACUCCUACGGGAGGCAGCAGUGGGGAAUAUUGCACAAUGGGCGGAAGCCUGAUGCAGCAACGCCGCGUGCGGGAUGACGGCCUUCGGGCUGUAAACCGCUUUCGCCUGUGACGAAGCGUGAGUGACGGUAAUGGGUAAAGAAGCACCGGCUAACUACGUG